AAAAACCCAGGUGGUGUGAGAUGGAUCCGCGUCUGAUUAGCCAGUUGGCGGGGUAACGGCCCACCAAAGCGACGAUCAGUAGCCGACCUGAGAGGGUGACCGGCCACAUUGGGACUGAGACACGGCCCAAACUCCUACGGGAGGCAGCAGUGGGGAAUAUUGCACAAUGGGCGCAAGCCUGAUGCAGCGACGCCGCGUGAGUGAAGAAGUAUCUCGGUAUGUAAAGCUCUAUCAGCAGGGAAGAAAAUGACGGUACCUGACUAAGAAGCCCCGGCUAACUACGUGCCAGCAGCCGCGGUAAUACGUAGGGGGCAAGCGUUAUCCGGAUUUACUGGGUGUAAAGGGAGCGUAGACGGCGACGCAAGUCUGGAGUGAAAGCCCGGGGCCCAACCCCGGGACUGCUUUGGAAACUGUGCUGCUGGAGUGCAGGAGAGGUAAGUGGAAUUCCUAGUGUAGCGGUGAAAUGCGUAGAUAUUAGGAGGAACACCAGUGGCGAAGGCGGCUUACUGGACUGUAACUGACGUUGAGGCUCGAAAGCGUGGGGAGCAAACAGGAUUAGAUACCCUGGUAGU
rnacentral:rRNA from 1 species